rnacentral:rRNA from 1 species
UACGUAAGGGGCAAGCGUUGUCCGGGUUUAUUGGGCGUAAAGAGCGUGUAGGCGGUUUGGUAGGUCCGUUGUGAAAACUCGAGGCUCAACCUCGAGACGCCGAUGGAAACCAUCAGACUAGAGUCCGGAAGAGGAGAGUGGAAUUCCUGGUGUAGCGGUGAAAUGCGCAGAUAUCAGGAAGAACACCUGUGGCGAAAGCGGCUCACUGGACCAUAACUGACGCGGAUGCACGAAAGCUGGGGAGCAAACAGG